rnacentral:rRNA from 1 species
CACGUAGGGUGCGAGCGUUGUCCGGAAUUAUUGGGCGUAAAGAGCUCGUAGGCGGCUUGUCGCGUCGACCGUGAAAACUUGGGGCUCAACCCCAAGCCUGCGGUCGAUACGGGCAGGCUAGAGUUCGGUAGGGGAGGACUGGAAUUCCUGGUGUAGCGGUGAAAUGCGCAGAUAUCAGGAGGAACACCGGUGGCGAAGGCGGGUCUCUGGGCCGAUACUGACGCUGAGGAGCGAAAGCGUGGGGAGCGAACAGG